UCUUCUUCUUUAUUCUUAUUCUCUUCUUUUAUUUCCUUGUUCUUUUCUCUGGCGAAUUUGAGAGAUCGAAUGGAAGUUUUAUGAUUAGUAGAAGGUGGAAAAGAUCAUGGGGUAGUUGCUAGUGAUGGUGUGGUUGUCUGUUGUUGAUUCAGACACGAAGGAGGAAGUUAAUUAGAGGUUAGGGUUCUGAGUUUUGAGGUUGUGUGGAACUAAUGAUGAUUUAGUGUUGCUGAUUGAUGAAGAACAAAUGGGUUGAGAUUGAAUUGAAGAUUUGAAGUUGUUCUAUUGAUGAAUUAAAGCUAGGGUUUCAUGUUCUUCCCCAAAUCAGUUAGUCUUUAUUAACAACGAUCGAUUCAAGGGACAGAUCAGUGGAUUGUAGAUCUCGAGGUAGGCGAGGCUUUUCAUCAGAUCAGUAAUCUGAAGGAAUGGAGCGCUCGAAGAUAUCUGUUUCGUAGCUAUGAACUUUAUUUAAUCUAGUGUUGUUGUGCAUCUAUUACUAUAUGUAUGCUUUCUUAUUCUGUAAACAACACAUUUAUUUAUUCUUAGAACUCGAAAAACUUUCAUUUAUAUAAUAUCAUAGAGUUUGGGUUUUGUUAUUU